rnacentral:misc_RNA from 1 species
GAUGAAGAACGUAGCGAAAUGCGAUAAGUAAUGUGAAUUGCAGAAUUCAGUGAAUCAUCGAAUCUUUGAACGCACCUUGCGCCCUUUGGCUAUUCCGAAGGGCAUGCCUGUUUGAGUAUCAUGAACACCUCAACUCUCAUGGUUCGCCAUGAUGAGCUUGGACUCUGGGGGUCUUGCUGGCCUAUGGUCAGCUCCUCUCAAAUAAAUCAGCUUGCCAGUGUUUGGUGGCAUCACAGGUGUGAUAACUAUCUACGCUUGUGGUUUUCCAUCAGGUAACCUUCAGUGAUGGAGGUUCGCUGGAGCUCAUAAAUGUCCCUCCUCAGCGAGGUCAGCUUUUUGAACGUUUGAUCUCAAAUCAGGUAGGACUACCCGCUGAACUUAAGCAUAUCAAUAAGCGGAGGA